rnacentral:misc_RNA from 1 species
GGAGUUCAAGGAGAAGAACCCCAAGAAUAAAUCUGUCGCUGCUGUAGGAAAAGCAGCCGGUGAUAGGUGGAAAUCCCUGACCGAAGCGGACAAGGCUCCCUAUGUAGCCAAGGCCAACAAGCUCAAGGCCGAGUACAACAAGGCCAUUGCUGCCUACAACAAGGGCGAGAGCACUGCCAAGAAGGCACCCGCCAAGGAGGAAGAGGAGGACGACGAGGAGGAAUCUGACAAGUCCAAGUCCGAGGUCAAUGAUGAGGAUGACGACGAGGGCAGCGAAGAGGAUGAAGACGAUGACGAGUGAGCCUUCCAGUGGACAAGAUGGGAGCAGCAAGACGCUAAGGGCGGCGGGCGUCCUAAGGAGCCUAUCCAUCAUCAUCAUCGUCUACUAGAAUUAUUCAGUUUCACUUCACAUCGUGAUGUUUUACUUUUUCUCUCGUCCUAUAACGGAUAGCGCUCCUUGUUGGCGCCACUGGUGGGUGUUGUGGUGCAGCCAAUGUCUUGUCUCCACCGUCAAUGAUCCGCUUGUACCUAGAUUACUCUUUCCAUUGUCAUCGGCUAACAUUGUGAUAAUAUCAG